GCAGGCUGGCCACCCAGUAAUCAGCACAAGUUAGAAUGUGGACAACUCAUCAGUUGUUGCACAGGCACUUUGGUGACUCUAGAUAACCUCGGGCUGAUCACACGUCCCCGUGAUGGCGACGACGCAUUCGGAUGUCUGCCCUAUCAACUUUCAAUGGUACUUUCUGCGCCUACCAUGGUGACCACAGGUAAUGGGGAAUCAAGGUUCGAUUCCGGAGAGGAAGCCUGAGAAACGGCUACCACAUCCAAUGAAGGCAGCAGGCGUGCAAAUUACCCACUCCCGACGCGGGAGGUAAUGAC